GCGAAAAGGGUUCGACGGGGGUAAGGAGAAAGGAGAAAGCAUGCCGAGGUCCCACUCCUCGUUAAACAGUGGGCUAAACACAAGUGCCGACUCUUAUGAGUAUGCUUUGGCUGCCUAAGUAGCAGCCACGUCCUAUGAGAUUGGCUCAUGGGUCUCAUAGGGCGUCAGGAACAUGAGCUAAGCCCUUGCUGAGGCUCAUAGGCAAGGGUGAUAUUAGAUGAGCUAGUCAAGAAGCAGUCCUGCCUGUGGGAGGCUUCUUGACGAAAGUCAAACACAGGCUAAGCAUGUAGAUGUCCCUUUCGAAUUACCCUCGGACGCGGGUUCGAUUCCCGCCGCCUCCACCA
rnacentral:tmRNA from 1 species